AUGCUCAAAAUUCUCCAAGCUAGGCUUCAGCAAUACGUGAACUGUGAACUUCCAGAUGUUCAAGCUGGUUUUAGAAAAGACAGAGGAGCCAGAGAUCAAAUUGCGAACAUCUGCUGGAUCAUCGAAAAAGCAAGAGAGUUCCAGAAAAACAUCUAUUUCUGCAUUAUUGACUAUGCCAAAGCCUUUGACUGUGUGGAUCACAAUAAACUGUGGAAAAUUCUGAAAGAGAUAAGAAUACCAGACCACCUGACCUGCCUCUCGAGAAACAUGUAUGCAGGUCAGGAAGCAACAGUUAGAACUGGACAUGGAACAACAGGCUGGUUCCAAAUAGGAAAAGGAGUACAUCAAGGCUGUAUAUUGUCACCCUGCUUAUUUAACUUCUGUGCAGAGUACAUCAUGAGAAAUGCUGGGCUGGAAGAAGCACAAGCUGGAAUCAAGAUUGCCGGGAGAAAUAUCAAUCACCUCAGAUAUGCAGAUGACACCACCCUUAAGGCAGAAAGUGAAGAGGCACUAAAAAGCCUCUUGAUGAAAGUGAAAGAGGAGAGUGAAAAAGUUGGCUUAAAGCUCAACAUUCAGAAAACGAAGAUAAUGGCAUCUGGUCCCAUCACUUCAUGGGAAAUAGAUGGGGAAACAGUGGAAACAGUGUCAGACUUUAUUUUUUGGGUUCCAAAAUCACCAGAUGGUGAUUGCAGCUAUGAAAUUAAAAGACGCUUACUCCUUGGAAGGAAAGUUAUGACCAACCUAGACAGCAUAUUAAAAACCAGAGACAUUACUUUGCCAACAAAGGUCCAUCUAGUCAAGGCUAUGGUUUUUCCAAUAGUCAUGUAUGGAUGUGAGAGUUGGACUAUAAAGAAAGCUGAGUACCAAAGAAUUGAUGCUUUUGAACUGUGGUGUUGGAGAAGACUCUUGAGAGUCUCUUGGGCUGUGAUCCAACCAGUCCAUCCUAAAGGAGAUCAGUCCUGGGUGUUCACUGGAAGGGCUGAUGUUGAAGCUGAAACUCCAGUACUCUGGCCACCUGAUGCGAAGAGCUGA
rnacentral:lncRNA from 1 species